rnacentral:rRNA from 1 species
GGUGAACGUUGGCGGUGCGUCUAAUACAUGCAAGUCGAGCGAGGCGUCGAGCCGAGCGGCAGCCGGCUGAGUAACACGUUGGUAACUACCGCAAACUCAGGGGUAACGCCGAUGAAUCGGUGCUAAGACCGGCUGGUCCCGUAAGGGGAAAGUUUUUACGGUUUGAGAGGUGCCUGCGUCCUAUCAGGUAGUUGGUGAGGUAACGGCUCACCAAGCCUAUGACGGGUAACUGGUCUGAGAGGAUGACCAGUCAGAGGGAAACUGAGACACGGUUGCCACUUCUACGGAAGGCAGCAGUAAAGAAUCUUCCAAAAUGGACGAAAGUCUGAUGGAGCGACACCGCGUGCAGGCUGAAGGCCCUUGGGUCGUAAACUGCUUUUUUGGGGGAAAAAUUCUGAUUGUACCCUACGAAUAAGCACCGGCAAAUCACGUG